rnacentral:rRNA from 1 species
AUACGGAGGAUGCGAGCGUUAUCCGGAUUUAUUGGGUUUAAAGGGUGCGUAGGCGGUUUGUCAAGUCAGCGGUGAAACGCAAGGGCUUAACCCUUGACCUGCCGUUGAAACUGAUUGACUAGAAUGCGGAUGCUGUGGGAGGAAUGUGUGGUGUAGCGGUGAAAUGCAUAGAUAUCACACAGAACACCGAUUGCGAAGGCAUCUCACAAAUCCGUGAUUGACGCUGAGGCACGAAAGUGUGGGGAUCAAACAGGAUUAGAUACCCUGGUAGUCCACACUGUAAACGAUGAUAACUCGCUGUCGGCGAUACACAGUCGGUGGCCAAGCGAAAGCGAUAAGUUAUCCACCUGGGGAGUACGACCGCAAGGUUGAAACUCAAAUGAAUUGGCGGGG